CCUACGGUGAGCUGCAGUGGGGGAUAUUGCACAAUGGGGGGAACCCUGAUUCAGCGACGCCGCGUGGGUGAAGGAGCGUUUCAGCGCGUUAAGCCCUAUCGGCCGGGAAGAAGAUGCCGGUACCUGACCAAGAAGCCCCGUCUAACUACGUGCCAGCAGCCGCGGUACUACGGAGGGGGCAAGCGUUAUCCGGCUUUACUGGGUGUUAAGGGGGCGCAGUCGGCAAUGCAAGCCAGGAGUUAAAGCCCGGGGCCCAACCCCGGGACUGUUCUUGAAACUGCAUGGCUGGAGUACAGGAGGGGCAGGCGGAAUGCCUAGUGUAGCGGUGAAAUGCGUAGAGAUUAGGAGGAACACCGGUGGCGAAGGCAGCAUGCUGGACUGUGACUGACGUUGAGGCCCGAAGGCGUGGGGAGCAAACAGGAUUAGAUACCCCUGUAGUC
rnacentral:rRNA from 1 species